UCAGGAGGGGUAACCCACCUGAGGGGAGAGCGGCGAACGGGUGAGUAUCACGUGGGCAACCUGCCCCGGACACCGGGAUAACCCAGGGGAACCUGAGCUAAUACCGGAUACUCCGGCGCGAUCUCAUGGUCGCGCCGGGAAAGCCUCGACGGUCCGGGAUGGGCCCGCGGCCUAUCAGCUUGUUGGUGGGGUAACGGCCCACCAAGGCGACGACGGGUAGCUGGUCUGAGAGGACGGCCAGCCACACUGGGACUGAGACACGGCCCAGACUCCUACGGGAGGCAGCAGUGGGGGAUCUUGCGCUAAUGCGCGAAAGCGUGACGCAGCGACGCCGCGUGGGGGAUGAAGGCCCUCGGG
rnacentral:rRNA from 1 species